UACGAAGGGAGCUAGCGUUGUUUGGAAUUACUGGGCGUAAAGCGCAUGCAGGCGGAUCGUUAAGUCGGGGGUGAAAUCCCGAGGCUCAACCUCGGAACUGCCUUCGAUACUGGCGAUCUUGAGUCCGGGAGAGGUGAGUGGAACUGCGAGUGUAGAGGUGAAAUUCGUAGAUAUUCGCAAGAACACCAGUGGCGAAGGCGGCUCACUGGCCCGGUACUGACGCUGAGAUGCGAAAGCGUGGGGAGCAAACAGG
rnacentral:rRNA from 1 species